UGCAGUCGAGCGGACAGAAGGGAGCUUGCUCCCGGAUGUUAGCGGCGGACGGGUGAGUAACACGUGGGUAACCUGCCUGUAAGACUGGGAUAACUCCGGGAAACCGGAGCUAAUACCGGAUAGUUCCUUGAACCGCAUGGUUCAAGGAUGAAAGACGGUUUCGGCUGUCACUUACAGAUGGACCCGCGGCGCAUUAGCUAGUUGGUGGGGUAAUGGCUCACCAAGGCGACGAUGCGUAGCCGACCUGAGAGGGUGAUCGGCCACACUGGGACUGAGACACGGCCCAGACUCCUACGGGAGGCAGCAGUAGGGAAUCUUCCGCAAUGGACGAAAGUCUGACGGAGCAACGCCGCGUGAGUGAUGAAGGUUUUCGGAUCGUAAAGCUCUGUUGUUAGGGAAGAACAAGUGCGAGAGUAACUGCUCGCACCUUGACGGUACCUAACCAGAAAGCCACGGCUAACUACGUGCCAGCAGCCGCGGUAAUACGUAGGUGGCAAGCGUUGUCCGGAAUUAUUGGGCGUAAAGGGCUCGCAGGCGGUUUCUUAAGUCUGAUGUGAAAGCCCCCGGCUCAACCGGGGAGGGUCAUUGGAAACUGGGAAACUUGAGUGCAGAAGAGGAGAGUGGAAUUCCACGUGUAGCGGUGAAAUGCGUAGAGAUGUGGAGGAACACCAGUGGCGAAGGCGACUCUCUGGUCUGUAACUGACGCUGAGGAGCGAAAGCGUGGGGAGCGAACAGGAUUAGAUACCCUGGUAGUCCACGCCGUAAACGAUGAGUGCUAAGUGUUAGGGGGUUUCCGCCCCUUAGUGCUGCAGCUAACGCAUUAAGCACUCCGCCUGGGGAGUACGGUCGCAAGACUGAAACUCAAAGGAAUUGACGGGGGCCCGCACAAGCGGUGGAGCAUGUGGUUUAAUUCGAAGCAACGCGAAGAACCUUACCAGGUCUUGACAUCCUCUGACAACCCUAGAGAUAGGGCUUUCCCUUCGGGGACAGAGUGACAGGUGGUGCAUGGUUGUCGUCAGCUCGUGUCGUGAGAUGUUGGGUUAAGUCCCGCAACGAGCGCAACCCUUGAUCUUAGUUGCCAGCAUUCAGUUGGGCACUCUAAGGUGACUGCCGGUGACAAACCGGAGGAAGG
rnacentral:rRNA from 1 species